GGAAGGAAGGAAGGAAGGAAAGAAGGGAGGAAAGGGGAGGAGGGAGGAGAAAGCUCAUUCAUGUCCACCAGGAAAUGCUCUAGCUGAUUUAUUCCUUUCCUCAUACCUAAAAAAAAAGUUGUCUUCCCGGUGUGUCACAGGAAAAAACCCAUCCUGGUGGUUCAUCCACAAGGCUGGCAGGAGAGAACAGACUUCUAUGCAAAUUAUGCUGAGCAGGCAGAGACCCUUCUGACCCUCAUCUUGCAUCCUGUUGGCGCUCAGCGGUGUGUUUAUUCAAUGCCGUUUGAACACUUAUGUUCACAAUCAGCCCUUCCUGGUCCCGGCCACAGUGGGGGCCAUGACAGAACAUUCUAGAUGAUCGUCUAAGAGGCUCCAAUCCACAGAAAGAAAAGAGAGCUUCAGAGAUAAGUCUCCUGUUAUUGUCUCCAGAAAUGUUCAUCUUGGGACCAGGAGAGUCGUCAGAGAUAAGAGAGGACCUGCAAGCAUGGGGGAUUUCAGUGAAUCCAGACAUUAAAGGGUGGGGUAGGUGGAGACAGGCAGGAAAAUAGAGUCAUUUGGUGGGGGGGCUAGACAGCCCCCCCUGUCCCCGCACGCAUGCAUGCGCAGGCAAACACACACAUACCUCAGGUCUCACUACUCCUGGACUGGUCUCGAACCUGUUCUGUAGCCCAUUGGCCUCAAACUCAUGAUCCUCCUGCCUCAGCAUCUGGAGAAAGCACAUGGUGAAAGCACACCCCUUCAAACACCUCUCCAGCUGUUGUAAUCAGCACAGUGUAGCCACUGAGGCUCACUCCUGCUGCAGUCUGCUCAAACCCCGUGUGUCUAGCUCUCACCCAGAACCGAAACGUGUCUGCUCUGCUGAGCUCAUUCUGUCCCCGGUCCGUAUCAGACAGGAAGCAAACUGGAAUCCUUUCUGAUAUUGCAGAUUCUCUGAGCUGCACCUCAGAAUCCCUGGCCGCCUCUGGCUCCAGGCACAGGGAUUUCCUAGGGGCACCCUCUCUCCUGGCUUUGAAGUCAUGGUCGCCUAUGACGAACUACCUAAUCCUUAUUUCACAGGACUAAUGCUGUCCUGUCUUGAGGUCUCUGCUUCCCAGAGGUCAUACUCUACACCAUCAUCUUCAUCUCCUCCAGCACUCUGUAUGGCCCAAGGCCACAUAGUCGAACACAGAUGCACUGAGCACAUAGAGACUCCUGCACCAUAAACCUCCAAGUUUCUGCUCAGUGCCUGACAUCCUCUGGUCUCCAACUUUUGUCCUUGGGGCAGCUGUAGGACUCAAUCAAGGCUCAGUCACCUGUGCUGAUGUGGCCUUUUGUGGGACUGUCUGCUUGGCACUGGGUAUGGCCCCGCUGUUCACAUUUGAACAAAACGUGUGUCCUCGGGCCCUACAUUCUUCCGUGACGCUCCUAUAAUUCUGCCUUUGCUCAUUUACAAGCUGCUCUCUCCUAUCUCUGCGCCCAUACUACCAGGGCUACCUGAUAGCCACCUUCAGAUUGAGUUACAGAGGCGCCACGGUGAUGCCGCUGGCUUCAGUGACGGAGUCUGCAAGGCUGAGUGGCUUGGUAGAAAUAGUUCUCUACUGGACUCCCCUUUGCCAGCUGCUCACCCUCCUGCUCGUUUUUUAUAAUGAAAACGGAAAUUAUUCCUGCUUCCAAGGAUGGCCGCUUCAGAAAUGGUAAGUAAGGGACCCGGGGGCAGGGGGCGCUUCCAGGAUGCACUCUGAGGAACUUCCCGGCUUCCCCAUAUGGGACCUGCCAACCAUGGCCUGCUUUCGAGGGGAUACUCCCCCAAGGCAUAUUUUCCAGAAGCUUAGACUUUACUAAUAUUGUAAAAAUUAAAAACAACAAAAACAAAAACAAGGUAAGUUUUUAAUGGUGAGUAGCUCCAUUUGGAAUGUAAAUAACCCUAACAGGUAGCUAGGAAGGAGGCAGGCAUAGACAGCCUCUGCGGGGAGGGCUCCGUGGACCUCAACCUUGGCGGAAGCAGAUUCCUCCAACACCUUGUUGUGGACUGAUCUGGGGCUCACCCGGGAGCACCCUACAUCUCUGGCUCGCCCAGACCUGUCCAGAAGGUCUCUAUUGUAGGAAACAGAACCCUGUGUGGGUUUGGCCCGAGGCGGAGGGUUUGGCCCGAGGCGGAGGGUUUGGCCUGAGGUGGAGGCUCCCAGCCACUCUUCACUUGGCUGGGUGGCCUGGGUCCCCAGGGCUCGGAUACUUUCUUUCUCAAUUAGGUCAUGCUUGCAUGAGCCAGGAAAGGGCUGUAUUUGUGGGCCGCUACUAACAUCGUGACAGUGCCCAUUCCCGGGUGCUGCCUUCCUUUCGGGACACAUAAAUUGAGUAUCAGAAGAUCUUAGGUCUAUGACAGGUAAAUCCUAUGGCUAGAAAGAAGAAUCAAAAUGUUGGACAAAGGAGAACCGUCUCAUCGUGAUGAUCACAGUUUUUUCUAAGGAACAACACAACGGUGACUUCUGGGUGACAAAUGGGGCUUAUCUCUAAAAGCGCCACUUGAUUGGCUACACAGAAGACACUGGCACUGUUAACUUGAAAGGAAUUAAAAUUCUGAGUUUUGUCAGCUCUAGAAGCCACUCUGCGAUUUUCUGUGGUCUCGAGAAAGUUGUGUUCUCAGUAGACAGAUAUUUGCGACAAACCCACAGGGGGUGUGGGCUUCGUGUGGGACUGAAAGGAUUUAAAAUGGGACAGAGGCACCCCUAGUGCCCACACUUUCCACAGGGACCAACCCUGCUCACCCCUGACUAAGCAGGUGGAGGUGGAGCCGGAACCCAACAUCAGAGGCCCUGAGAUAGUCACCAUGGGGGAGAAUGACCCUCCGGCAGCCGAAGCUCCCUUCUCCUUCCGGUCUCUCUUCGGCUUGGAUGAUUUGAAAAUAAGUCCUGUGGCACCAGAUGGAGACGCAGUGGCUGCGCAGAUCUUGUCCCUUCUGCCCUUGAAGUUUUUUCCGAUCAUCGUCAUUGGGAUCAUCGCCUUGAUACUGGCGCUGGCCAUCGGUCUGGGCAUCCACUUCGACUGCUCUGGGAAGUACAGGUGCCAUUCAUCUUUCAAGUGUAUUGAACUAACAGCUCGAUGCGACGGGGUCUCCGACUGCAAGAACGCAGAGGAUGAGUACCGAUGCGUGCGGGUGAGCGGCCAAAGAGCGGCGCUCCAAGUGUUCACAGCUGCUGCGUGGAGGACCAUGUGCUCCGAUGACUGGAAAAGCCACUAUGCCAAGAUUGCCUGUGCCCAGCUGGGGUUUCCCAGCUAUGUGAGCUCAGACCACCUAAGAGUGGAUGCGCUGGAGGAGCAGUUCCAGGGCGACUUCGUGUCCAUCAAUCACCUCUUGUCAGAUGACAAGGUGACGGCGUUACACCACUCUGUGUACAUGAGGGAAGGCUGCACCUCAGGCCACGUGGUCACCUUGAAGUGCUCAGCCUGUGGCACGAGAACGGGCUACAGUCCCCGAAUUGUGGGUGGAAACAUGUCCUCGCUCACUCAGUGGCCCUGGCAGGUCAGCCUCCAGUUCCAGGGGUACCACCUAUGUGGGGGCUCCAUCAUCACCCCUCUGUGGAUCGUCACUGCGGCACACUGUGUUUAUGACCUGUACCACCCCAAGUCCUGGACUGUCCAGGUGGGUCUUGUGUCCCUGAUGGACAGUCCUGUGCCCUCCCAUCUGGUGGAGAAAAUCAUCUAUCACAGCAAGUACAAGCCAAAGCGGCUGGGCAAUGACAUAGCCCUCAUGAAGCUGUCCGAGCCACUCACCUUUGACGAGACCAUCCAGCCCAUCUGUCUGCCCAACUCUGAAGAGAACUUUCCCGAUGGGAAACUGUGCUGGACCUCAGGAUGGGGAGCCACAGAGGAUGGAGGGAGACAGUGGAGGACCCCUGGUGUGCCAGGAGAGGAGACUGUGGAAGUUAGUGGGUGCAACAAGUUUUGGAAUCGGCUGUGCUGAAGUGAACAAGCCUGGAGUCUAUACGCGAAUCACCUCCUUCCUGGACUGGAUUCACGAACAGUUGGAGAGAGAUCUGAAGACUUGAAGAAAAGGGAACCAGCCAGCCCCUGAGCUCCUGAGGGUGGUCACAGCCCGAGCCUUCCCUGGACUCCUGUGUGGCCAUGUUGGAUGCGAGUAUCAGCUUUACUGCUCUGCCCAUUGCACUGAAAGGGAGACAGCGGGAAGAGCAUUCUCCUAACCCCGACACCUGGAGUGGCUUGCUGCUAAAGCCCCUGACCUCUGGACUUUGGGGCUGAAACGACCUUGGAUGCUCUUUCUGUGCUUCAUGAACCAACUCAUGCACACAAGUGGCACCUUUCCCUGCCACCACCCUAGAUUUUCUCCUCAGAGUGCCUGCCAACACAGGCAAGCUCUCAUGCAAAGCCAUCGAACACCAGUUGGGGCAGCUACGAAGCCAGGAACUGCUGAUGUGAAUUGGUGAAGAUGCAGUCACCUGUUUGUUCCCAGAUCUCAGAUCUCCACCCAAUCGUCUCCUUCCCAGAGCUGGUUCCGGGAGUGGGGAACUUGGUCUGUGACUGAUUCACUGUUUUCUCACAGGAUUUGGUGCUUGACGAAUUCCUCCCUUCUGGAAGGUGUCCCUUUGUGUAGCUUGGCUUGUCCUCGGGCUUGAGUGAAUGCGUGGUGGUGGGUGGUGGGCACAGAAAUCAUGGGCUCACGUCAGAAGCCCAUCCUACACACGUCAAGAGUUUGCAUUUUCCUGUUAGAAUAGGUUUCCCAGAUCUCAGAAGUAUCCCAUAUUGCAUUGUGGGAUGCAUAAGCAGAGUGAGGGACACAGGUCUGGGCAGAGACAAGACUGGGCACUAAAAGCAAGCUGAAUCGAGGAGUCCUAAGUGAUGGGUUCUGCCUUACCCCCCGCCCCGUGCACUCUGCUAAUGGGUCAUAGCUGAUGGUGUCCGGGUCCCUCUUACAUGGCUCACAGUCCUGUGGUUCCCAUAUUACCCAAUAACAGAGGAGGGUUAUGUGAGACAUAGCUAUGGGUCACUCAGGCUUGUCACAGACGAAGUCUUCAGAGUAGGAAUCAGUUGUUUUGUGGCUGUAACAAAAAGUGUGUGUGUGUGCAUGUGUGUGUGUGGGGGGAGACAUAUCACCAGGACAAACUACUUUUGUACACACAUAGCCAUUGUACUUUGACUCAACCCUAUCCAGAUUAGAGCCCCCACAUAGCUUUCUGUGAAUAGAAUACAGGUCCCAAGGCCCACGGUGGGUACCUGAAACUGUGGGCAGCUCCGAGCCCUAUAUGGAUGGUUCUUUUCCAUAUGCAUCCCUCCCUACAGAUGUGCUUCAUCUACUAGUCACAGUAAGAGAUGACUAUCCUCACUGAAAAUAAAGCACAGCAGUUAUAAAAACA